GCGCAUCCAUUUCAUAGUUAGUCAUGUUUAGUUGCGGUAGAAUCAGUCUUGCUUGCUUUAUUUGCUAUCCUAAAUUUUAAUUGAGAAAUAGGCAGUUAUUGCUAUCUCACCAUUUUUGUCUUUGAAAUCUGUGGUCAUUCCUAUUGAGCAGUCCACUGUGCAAAAUGGCGACCCAGAUGCAGGCAAGUGAUGUCCAGCUGAAGCUUGAGAAUGGCACUUACUCUCUGAUGCUAGAACCGCUUGUUCUUGCGUUUGACGACUCACACGAGGUUUAUUUACACAAGGAUGGACCGAAUCAAGAUUUUAUAAAACAUCUACAAGGGCUGGAUGAUUGGCCAGAAAAAAGUUUUCCAACCCAGAAGCUGAAGGCAUCUGGAUACCGAGACGAGUUUAACCUGGGAAUUAUCUACUCAAGAUAUUUCGAGUCCAGGGAGAAGCUGGAUUCCCUGUACUCUCAGCAGUGGCAAUCUGAGAAACCAUUUAAUCGGAACAAGAAAGUGGAGACUGUGGAAAAAAUUUCAUUUCAGAAGGCCUUGGAACUUCUGUCUGUGAAGAUCUCCUGCAACAUGGAUUAUUAUUUGGCAAAUCACGAAGAAAUGGAAAAGGAUUUAGGACGAAAGUUAGGCAAUUUUGAUCGAGAUGAUGAGAAAUUAGUGAAAGGUUUGGAACAGGAGCUGUUUUAUAACCAAGUAAUUAAAAUUAUCGGAGAAAGCGAGGAUGAUGACCGGGCUACCUUUUCAGUGAUGGUCAAAGACUUCAGGAAUUUGUUUUAUGAUGGGAAUAGCACGUUCGCUACAGCAAAACAUGGAGAACAUUACCUCUUUUUCCAUUAUCUUUAUCCAUAGUGAGCUGAAGUUGUAAACUUUGUACCGCAAGAGAAGGACGUUUGCUUCUAGUGAAUUUGGUGCUGUGAAUAUAUGUUUAUUUAUUAAACCUGCGAGCUGAAGCUGUAAACUUUGUACCGCAGGAGAAGGACGUUUGCUUUUAGUGAAUUUGGUGCUGUGAAUAUAUGUUUCUUUAUUAAACAUGCGAGCUGAAGUUGUAAACUUUGUUUGUACCGCAAGAGAAGGACGUUUGCUUCUAGAGAAUUUGGUGCUGUGAAUAUGUUUCUUUAUUGAACCUGUUGCCUUUAUUGAACUUGUUGCCUUGAUUUACGCUGUCGGUCGCAGUCAAAUAAAAAUGUGAAUAUCUUCUGACCUUGAUUAGUCAUUCAUAAAAUAUUUUGGUUUAAUGGAAGCUGUCGCGCUAGAAAAAACUCCUAUGACUCUGCACUCAAUUCAGAAUGCCUUGAGAAAUAAAUAUUUGUGGCCAAAUUUUUUAGUCUAAAAAUUUCAUUGUACUCAAACCUGCGUUUCUGGGUCGUUUCUGGGUGGAAUUGUGAUAGAAAUAAUUCUCCUAAUUUUGAGAGCACCUUUAUCUUCUGCUUAAGCUUUAGCCAAUAUGCCCUUAGCAUUUUCUUUAAUUUCCAUGAGCUUAGACCAUUAAGCUACCUAGGUACUUCAUAAAUAACAUUCACAACUUUCUAUUUUUAUCCCUUCAUGGCUUUCACAGGUGAGGAUUGGAUACAUUUUAGAUGGAGAAUUCUAAUAAACUUCUAAUGAUUC